UACGUAGGGUGCAAGCGUUAAUCGGAAUUACUGGGCGUAAAGCGUGCGCAGGCGGUUGUGCAAGACAGAUGUGAAAUCCCCGGGCUCAACCUGGGAAUGGCAUUGGUGACUGCACGGCUAGAGUGUGUCAGAGGGGGGGUAGAAUUCCACGUGUAGCAGUGAAAUGCGUAGAGAUGUGGAGGAAUACCGAUGGCGAAGGCAGCCCCCCUGGGAUAACACUGACGCUCAUGCACGAAAGCGUGGGGAGCAAACAGG
rnacentral:rRNA from 1 species